GAAAGUAAUGAAGGGCGUACGGUGGAUGCCUAGGCUCUUACAGGCGAUGAAGGACGUGAUAAGCUGCGAAAAGCCGCGGUGAGGCGCAAAUGGCCCUUGACCCGCGGAUCUCCGAAUGGGACAACCCAAUAUCUUGAAGAGAUAUUAUCCCGCCGGUGCGGGAGGCGAACGCGGGGAACUGAAACAUCUUAGUACCCGCAGGAAAAGAAAAUAAAGAAUGAUUCCCCCAGUAGUGGCGAGCGACCGGGGAAGAGCCCAAACCGACGUUGUCUCGGCAUCGUCGGGGUUGUAGGACCGCGCCAUCGCAAGAAAGGCCGUGAGUGGAAGCGACUGGAAAGCCGCGCCAUAGAGGGUGACAGCCCCUUACACGAAGCAGCCCGAAGCGUAGCGGACUCCUGAGUAGCGCGGGACACGAGUAAUCCUGUGUGAAUCCGCCGGGCCCAUCCGGCAAGGCUAAAUACUCGUAAGAGACCGAUAGUGAACCAGUACCGUGAGGGAAAGGUGAAAAGUACCCCUUGCAGGGGAGUGAAAGAGUUCCUGAAACCGUACGCCUACAAGCGGUCGGAGCAUCUUGAAUGAUGUGACGGCGUGCCUUUUGCAUAAUGAACCUACGAGUUGCCGUCACCAGCGAGGUUAAGUGCGAUGACGCACCGAGCCGCAGCGGAAGCGAGUCUUAAAAGGGCGCGAUAGUUGGUGGAGGCAGACGCGAAACCGAGUGAUCUACACUUGUCCAGGAUGAAGUCCCGGUAACACGGGAUGGAGGUCCGCACCAAUAAGCGUUGAAAAGCUUCUGGAUGAGGUGAGUGUAGGAGUGAAAGGCCAAUCAAACUCGGAGAUAGCUCGUACUCCCCGAAAGGCAUUUAGGUGCCGCCUGUGGCGUUCCCGACGUGAGGUAGAGCGACUGAUAGGAUGCGAGGGCUUCACCGCCUAUCAAGUCCUGACAAACUCCGAAUGCACGUCGGCCAAGCCAUGGAGUAAGGGCAUGGGUGCUAAGGUCCGUGCCCGAGAGGAGAAGAAUCCAGACCACCGGCUAAGGUCCCGAAAUACUGGUUAAGUUAGACUAACGCAGUCCGGCCCCCAAGACAGCUAGGAUGUUGGCUUGGAAGCAGCCAUUCAUUCAAAGAGUGCGUAACAGCUCACUAGUCGAGGAGCUGGGCGUGGAUAAUAAUCGGGUAUGAAACCAGUUACCGAAGCCGUGGGAUGCUUAAGCAUCGGUAGGGGAGCAUUGCAUGCGGCUUAGAAGGCGGGGCGCGAGCCCCUCUGGAGCGCAUGGAAACGCAAAUGUAGGUAUAAGUAACGACAAGGGGGGUGGGAUGCCCCCCCGCCGAAAGACCAAGGUUUCCUGAACAACGCUAAUCGGUUCAGGGUCAGUCGGGUCCUAAGCAUAAGCCGUAUGGCGAGGGCGAUGGACGAAACGGUUAAUAUUCCGUUACUGUCUUGGUGUGUGACGCGGCGACGGAGUAGUGACACGGCCGCCUCCUGACGGAAAAGGGGGUUGAAGCGCAAAGGUGUCGAGGAAGGCAGGCAAAUCCACCUUCCGAGCCGAAGCGCGAAAGUACGCCGGGCCCUUUGGGGCAAGGCGAUAGUGCCGGUAAUCAGACUUCCAAGAAAACCCGCUAAACUUCAGCACCAAGUCACCCGUACUCUAAACGGACACACGUGGUCGGGUAGAAUAUACUAAGGCGCUUGGGAGAUUCACGGUUAAGGAACUAGGCAAAUUGACCCCGUACCUUCGGAAUAAGGGGUCCUCGCUUUUGCGAGGCGCAGAGAAUAGGUCCAGGCAACUGUUUAACAAAAACACAGGGCUGUGCAAAAUUGAAAGAUGAAGUAUACAGCCUGACACCUGCCCGGUGCUGGAAGGUUAAGAGGAGAUGUCAUCGCAAGAGAAGCAUUGAAUUGAAGCCCCAGUAAACGGCGGCCGUAACUAUAACGGUCCUAAGGUAGCGAAAUUCCUUGUCGGGUAAGUUCCGACCUGCACGAAUGGUGUAA
rnacentral:rRNA from 1 species